rnacentral:rRNA from 1 species
GACGAACGCUGGCGGCGUGCUUAACACAUGCAAGUCGAACGGAAAGGCCCUGCUUUUGUGGGGUGCUCGAGUGGCGAACGGGUGAGUAACACGUGAGUAACCUGCCCUUGACUUUGGGAUAACUUCAGGAAACUGGGGCUAAUACCGGAUAGGAGCUCCUGCUGCAUGGUGGGGGUUGGAAAGUUUCGGCGGUUGGGGAUGGACUCGCGGCUUAUCAGCUUGUUGGUGGGGUAGUGGCUUACCAAGGCUUUGACGGGCAGCCGGCCUGAGAGGGUGACCGGCCACAUUGGGACUGAGAUACGGCCCAGACUCCUACGGGAGGCAGCAGUGGGGAAUAUUGCACAAUGGGCGGAAGCCUGAUGCAGCAACGCCGCGUGCGGGAUGACGGCCUUCGGGUUGGAAACCGCUUUCGCCUGUGACGAAGCGUGAGUGACGGUAAUGGGGAAAGAAGCACCGGCUAACUACGU